rnacentral:rRNA from 1 species
UACGAAGGGGGCUAGCGUUGCUCGGAAUCACUGGGCGUAAAGCGCACGUAGGCGGCUUUCUAAGUCAGGGGUGAAAUCCUGGAGCUCAACUCCAGAACUGCCUUUGAUACUGAGGACCUCGAGUCCGGGAGAGGUGAGUGGAACUCCGAGUGUAGAGGUGAAAUUCGUAGAUAUUCGGAAGAACACCAGUGGCGAAGGCGGCUCACUGGCCCGGUACUGACGCUGAGGUGCGAAAGCGUGGGGAG